UACGUAGGGGGCUAGCGUUGUCCGGAAUCAUUGGGCGUAAAGCGCGCGUAGGCGGCCCUGUUAGUCCGCUGUAAAAGUCAAAGGCUCAACCUUUGAAUGCCGGUGGAUACUGCAGGGCUAGAGUCCGGAAGAGGCGAGUGGAAUCCUGGUGUAGCGGUGGAAUGCGCAGAUAUCAGGAGGAACACCAACGGCGAAGGCAGCUCGCUGGGACGGUACUGACGCUAAGGCGCGAAAGCGUGGGGAGCGAACGAG
rnacentral:rRNA from 1 species